UGUGUUUUUGGUUAAAUAAGGAAAAGCUUAAAUUGUGGGAUUUUGUUGCUUUUAGCACUUCUCCAAAUUCUUUUUGUAGGGCAACAACAGUCCUUAAUGGUAAGUCAAAACAAUUUGUCUCUAUUUUUUGAUUAAGAGUGAAUGAUUAGCGGUCGGAAUGCAUGUCAGACAAUAUAUUUUCCAAAGACUUUGCUCCAUGUCCGUCAUAUCGGACAAAGAAAAUUUUAGGGAUUUUUCCCUUUGCUGGUUUUCAUUACUGAUCAACUGACUGUGUUGGAGACGGUGAAGACUGAACAUGACUAAUCCAUUCUAAAUCUCUUUCCAAGCAGAAGAGCAGCCCCCCCGGGAUCUCAUAAAACUUUAGGCAGAAAACCCCCCUCUGUUUUGUGGAGACAGCAGUAAUGACGUGUCAUGCUCAGCCAUUCGGAGACCAAAACAGGAGGACUGGUGGAAAAAUCCUGGGAGAAGCAGGCCACCCAGGGGACCCCAGCAGCAGUUGGAAAUGGCAUCUAUGGCGCUCUGACCCCUUACAGCCCACAACGAGGUGCCCAACAGCAGAAUGUACAGACCAAGAGGCAGAUGGUCUGGAGGAAAAAUGAACAGUACCCAUGACCACUCCAAGCCCUCCUCCACCGUGGCGAGGACCACAGGGCAAGUCGGACAACACCACUUGAUGCAGGAGCCAUUGUCUUUUUCAAGCUCAAAGGUAACCACUGAUGAGUCUACUGGACACUCUACCUGCUCUGACAAAUGAACAAAUGACUCCUCAAAACCUGCAAAAGACCAUCCGACUGACUUUUGACCAGAUGGUGGAACAUUCAUGCGUGCAUUCACCAAACACGCCUGUGAAUCUGUUGGGAUGGGACAGUCUUGUCAAAACAGGAGACAGCAGACUGGAUGCCAUGCCGGACACCACAGCCGACCCCCACUGCAGACAUGUAAAGGGCCCUGAAACGCCAGGUGGUUUCGUUAAUUUCAGGUUUGAAGCCUGGACUCCUGUGUUUGAAGCCUCCGAAUGGUCUGACCUGUACCUCCAUUAUGACAGAGAGCAUGAUUAACAGUAAGAAGUAUUUCAGCAGGUAGAAGACCACACGUGGCAUUUGAACUACACUGACAUAUAUUAACCCUGAGGGCGAGCGGCUUAUUGUGCAUUCAUACACUCACAAAUGCAAUGAUACUAGCUGUCAGACACAGCUGUAUCUCACAUAGGAUUAGACUAAGCAGGACAUUAACAACACAUUGGUUAAAUCGUGUUUUUUCAGGUGUUCACUUUCCUCCCUCGAUAAAAAUGUACAGGUUAAUUUUGCCGUUCAACAACUGAGCAGAGAGGAGACGGCUCAUGAAGAUGCAGAGGUGAUGUUAAAACGCUCUCUGAUGCUUCAUGGUCCACAGGUUCAGUUGAUGUUGGUUCAUUCUUCAUCGUCCCCCCGGUGGUGAUCCAGGUAACUACAGGAGCACAGAUUUUAGAUCUCAGUGCAGCUGAGUGACUGAUGCAGAUGAAGGGAGGAAGGAAACUCAGUCUGGGCUGUGGAACUAUGGUGUCAUUGAAUAUUCGUAUUCUUCAUGGUGUACUUCUUUGAAACCGGUUUUAAAAGUAGAUGGAUUGCAUAUGAUUUAAGCUAAUGUUAAUUUGAGUUGAUGACGUCACCAUUAUUAUAAAACCUAUACGUCCCUGAUCCAUAUUGCAUGCUGUCACCUUUAACCUCACAAGGUGUGUUGUUUGUUGCUAUUGACUUAGCACACGUUUUCUUUUAAUGGAAUCAUUACAUAAAAAUAGCAGACCAUUGUUCGCAUUAUAGUACAGAGGGGUUCAUAAAAUCCUUCUUGCAUUUUUGAUCACUGUUUAAAGUCUCUCUGACAGAACAUUAUGCUAUAAAAGGUUUGUGUUUUCAUGAUGUAGGCUGAUGACCUCCUGCUGGCAGUACCAACUGCUGAACUCUGCCUGCAAUUAAUGAAAGAUCUUCUGUUGCAGUUGUAUUAUUUCUUCUUGUGACCUUGCCUUUUACAGGAGCGUGGACAGGACGCUUGUUCACCUUAUCGGUGCACCAAACAGUUUAUUGUUUUUAUGUUCUUGCUUUACAUUUAAUUCGUUUUAUGUGUUUGUCCUGGAGCUUAGCCCCAGGCCAAGAGAGGGAGGUAGACAAAAGAGGUCUUAAUGAUUAAAAGAAGGACAUUAUUUUAUCAUUAUCGUUUCAAUGUAUUUGUCUAGAAAGAAUGUUUAAAUAGUAACACAGAUUGACCAUUUUUAAAAUUUUAAAGCUUUGUGUGUCUGUUCAUUUGAUUUUCUCUCAUCCACAGCAAGGAUGAGUAGGUUCUACGGCUGGGUCAUUAGACAACAGCCCAUAAUAAACUUUUUUCUUUUUCUUGAAUUUAUAUUUUCCCCACUUGUGUUCUUCAUAAAACAGCACGAGGGGAAGCAGACCUUUGAGAAGAGAAAUGUGGUGGACCUUUUCCAUCAUAUUUUCUCUUACUGCGCAUGCGUAAAUUGAUUCUUGUCUCAUUGUCUUUUGUGUUUUAUUGUUUUUUAUUUUUUAAUUUCCUGACCCUAACACUAACAAAAACUUAGACCCACAGCAGAAUCAUCUUGGCAGAACAGUACCACAGCAGUGGACACCCCAAGUCCUUUUGCAGCCGUUCUGUUGUAUCAGAUGUGUCACAUCUCUAAUAACAGGCUUAUUGAGAAGUCCAUAGGAGGCCAGGUCCAAGCUUGCCAGAGCUUGUGGGACAUGCAGAAGGAGGACGCGAGUGUUCGAGGCCCGGAAUGACCUUUUUUGGACUUUGUUGCAUUUUAUAAAAUUGCUUACUGUUAUGUUUGACAAUUUUCUUUUCAUCGUCUGUGUGUUUUUUGUUCUGCUCUAACAUUUCUCAAUUCCCCCCCCUUAAUUCCAGGUGUUCCUUUUCCUUACAGGAAGUGCUAUUUUAUUGUCUUUAUCUUUUACUUUUUAGAAUAAUUUGAAUUUUUAUUUGUGCAUUUUCUUUAUUUACUAUUUCAUGUAUUGUUCUUUGUAAAUGCCAAUGUGCCAAAUAUCUAAUGAAGCAUAAGUAUCCUUAGGGAUGGUCGCUGAUGGGGCACAGGACCGUAGCGAGAAUUUUCCCUGUCCAACUGAACGUUUCUUAAAGAUGGUUAAUGCAAGCUCUGACAGGUUUUCGC